UUCUAACCGUAAACGAUGACAACCAGCGAUUAAUCGGCGUUAAUAUAUGACCCGAUUAGCAGCUUCCGGGAAACCAAAGUUUUUCGUUUCCGGGGGAAGUAUGGUUGCAAAGCUGAAACUUAAAGGAAUUGACGGAAGGGCACCACCAGGAGUGGAGCCUGCGGCUUAAUUUGACUCAACACGGGAAAACUCACCCGGCCCGGACACUGUAAGGAUUGACAGACUGAGAGCUCUUUCUUAAUUCGGUGGGUGGUGGUGCAUGGCCGUUCUUAGUUGGUGGAGCGAUUUGUCUGGUUAAUUCCGAUAACGAACGAGACUCUGGCCUAUUAAAUAGACGAUGUAUUAAAAAGUAUGUCGUACUUCUUAGAGGGACAAGCGGCGUCUAGCCGCAUGAAAUAGAGCAAUAACAGGUCUGUGAUGCCCUUAGAUGUCCGGGGCUGCACGCGCGCUACACUGAAAGAAUCAGUGAGCGAUUCACCUAGUUCGGAAGAACCGGGUAACCCAAGUAAAUUCUUUCGUGCUUGGGAUAGGGAAUUGCAAUUAUUUCCCUUAAACGAGGAAUUCCCAGUAAAUGCGGGUCAUAAGCUCGCGUUG
rnacentral:rRNA from 1 species